rnacentral:rRNA from 1 species
UACGUAGGGGGCAAGCGUUGUCCGGAUUUAUUGGGCGUAAAGAGCGUGUAGGCGGUCUGGUAGGUCCGUUGUGAAAACUCGAGGCUCAACCUCGAGACGCCGAUGGAAACCAUCAGACUAGAGUCCGGAAGAGGAGAGUGGAAUUCCGUGGUGUAGCGGUGAAAUGCGCAGAUAUCAGGAAGAACACCCGUGGCGAAGGCGGCUCCUCUGGAACGCAACUGACGCUGAGACGCGAAAGCGUGGGGAGCAAACAGG